rnacentral:lncRNA from 1 species
UUAAGUCUCCCAAACAAAGUUUGGAGACUUAUUGUUUUUGCUCAGUUCUUAUUAUGGCACCCUCAACGGAGUUGGGGUGACAUCUUGUUAUUGUUCGUUUCUUUUUUUUCUUUUUAUUAUUAUUUUUAUUCUUCCACACAUUUUGUCCAUACUAUAUCUCGGAAUUGGCCACACCCAUGUUGAUAGAACUAUACCAUAAUAUGAACCGCCAUGUGAAGUUGUGCAAGAGACAUUGGAAUGGUAAAAAAUGGCCGCCGUUACCAUGGAAACUGCAAAAAUCUAAAAAAAAAAUCAAAAUUCUAAAUCUUUCGUUAUAAGAGGCAAUCUCUUGAAAGUUUAUGUAAAUGUUGGCAGUGGUGCCCUGAGGUACCAACAGUUCUUGGAAUUUUCAAAAUACCUGCCAUUGCCAUGGAAACAGCAAAAAUGUCCAAAAUUUCAAAAUAAUCAAAACGCUGCAAACUGGAUGAAACUUUACAGAAAUGGUACCUGACUUGGCCAGAGUUGGAUUUUGAAGUUGGAAUUUCCAAAAUGGCCGCCGUUACCAUGGAAACAGAAAAAAUGUCAAAAAUUUCAAAAUGCUCCAAACUUUAUGAAACUUAACAAAAAUGAUCAUUUGCAUGUGUAGAUUCACUCUUUGACUUGGGAAAUUUCAAAAUGGCUGCCGCUCGCCUGGCAAUGGGGGAAGGGUGCCAUCCGCUAUUGCUUGCAAUGGCAAAUCUAGUUAUUAUUAUUAUUAUUUUUAUUCUUCCACACAUUUUGUCCAUACUAUUUCUCAGAACUGGUCAGACCAAUGUUGAUGGAACUAUACCAUAAUAUGAACCGCCAUGUUAAGUUGUGCAAGAGACAUUGGAAUGGUAAAAAAUGGCUGCCGUU